GAUGAAGAACGUAGCGAACUGCGAUAAGUAAUGUGAAUUGCAGAAUUCAGUGAAUCAUCGAGUCUUUGAACGCACAUUGCGCCCCUUGGUAUUCCGAGGGGCAUGCCUGUUCGAGCGUCAUUAUAACCCCUCAAGCUUAGCUUGGUGUUGGGGCCUGCUGUAAUAGAGCAGCCCUUAAAAUCAGUGGCGGUGCCAUUAGGCUCUAAGCGUAGUAAUUCUUCUCGCUAUAGGGUUCUGGUGGAUGCUUGCCAUUAACCUCUAAUUUUCUAUGGUUGACCUCGGAUCAGGUAGGGAUACCCGCUGAACUUAAGCAUAUCAAUAAGCGGAGGA
rnacentral:misc_RNA from 1 species